AGUCCUGUAAUUGUAGUUUUCUCACAUGUUUUUCGCAGGCUUAGUCCAUGAGUUUCAAGUGGUACUUCCCUGUCAACAUGGCAGGUGCCACAGAUAUUGUAGUAAAUGAAAUAAUUUGAGGUGGGUCCUAAUAGUGUUUUACAUGUGAAGUAUGGUACCUAUUUGCUUUGUUUAACAAUGGACAGUGUUAGGUCAGAGGGAGCCCAGGAUCA